GCUUCGGCCUGGUGGCGAGUGGCGAACGGGUGAGUAUCAUCGGAACGUACCCAGAAGUGGGGGAUAACGUAGCGAAAGUUACGCUAAUACCGCAUACGUUCUACGGAAGAAAGUGGGGGAUCGCAAGACCUCAUGCUUUUGGAGCGGCCGAUGUCUGAUUAGCUAGUUGGUGAGGUAAAGGCUCACCAAGGCGACGAUCAGUAGCUGGUCUGAGAGGCGCCCCCCUGGAACUGAGACCCGGUCCAGACUCCUACGGGAGGCAGCAGUGGGGAAUUUUGGACAAUGGGCGCAAGCCUGAUCCAGCAAUGCCGCGUGAGUGAAGAAGGCCUUCGGGUUGUAAAGCUCUUUUGUGCAGGGAAGAAACGGCGGGGCUAAUAUCCUUUGCUAAUG
rnacentral:rRNA from 1 species